CGUCUCCACAAACCUGCAAGUUAUGAGACAGCUGUCAGUAUUGGAAGAAGCUUUAACGUCUCGUAGAUGAAACUAGCUGGGUUAUUUUGUUUCGUAUAAGUUAUAUUUUAAAACGGCAUUGUAGCCUACCACUCGUGGAAUAUGGAAUUUCAAAGAGAUGAUGGAGUGAUUUGACUCAGAAUUGACAUCAGGCAUUGGCAGCGCGAGAUGUGCAGAACAAGUUAAACUUCUAGCUCAGUAACAUCAACACCUAAGAAAGAAGAUCAGCCCUGACCGUACAGAAGUGGACAGCUGGGCUGUCUGGGACACAUCCAGGAAGCCCCAGAGGCCGGUUUCCCGAAGCCCUCUGGCCCCCUAGGAAGGUUGUGGGUCACCUCCCCCUGUCCUGAUGUCCUGUUGAUCACCACGCUGCACUGAUCACCAAUGCCUGCGGGAUCCACCUGCUGGUCAUCUCCACGUCGUCCUCUUGUGGUGCCUUCCCAUCCAGGUUUAAGCCCCUCCUAUAUGGGCGUAUUGGGCGUCUGUGUGGGGGAGUGUUGGAUCCUUGUUAAGUCCUCGCUUCCCUUGCCUUGACAAGCCGGGUUAGGACCAAACCAAUGAUAGACAACUGCUGCUCAGAAAAAAAUAAAAACACACACACACACAAACUUCCUGAAGGAAUAUCGAAUGGGGA
ensembl:lncRNA